GUUGAAGGUGCAGCAAGCCUUGACUUUCGAUUCUCUUAGUCAAGCUAUCUCACUUUAACGGCGAACCUUUUGCAUGAUGGGUCAGUGAAAAAAUGGGAACUGCGGCUUAAGACAUUAGGUGUAGGUGCUUUUGAGAGGUGAAGAUUCUCGUUCUUCCUAUUUGACCCAAAACCAAUCGAUCUAGCCAUGAGUAGGUUGAAAAGAGCUCUAGCAGGCCUUAGAGGACCGAACCCAUGUAUGUGAAAAAAUACAGAAAUGACUUGUGGCUAGGGGUGAAAGACUAACCAAGAUCAGAUAUAGCUGGUUUUCGACGAAAUCUAUUUCAGUAGAGCGUAUGAUGUCGAUAGCUUGAGGUAGAGCACUCAAUAGGCUAGGGGGGCCCUAUUUUGCCUUACUAACCCAGGGAAACCCCGAAUACAGGCCUAGAGACUUUUGGGGUGCUAUGAUUUAAAGUAGAGAAAGAAAUAGCACAGAUUGUAUGCUAAGGUCCCUAAGCAAUCACUUAGUGGAAAAGGAAGUUCUCAAACGACGACAACUAGGACGUGGGCUUGGAAGUAGCCAUCCUUUGAAGAAAGCUUAAUAGCUCACUGGUUUAGCUCCAUGGCACUGGAAAUUUCUUGGGGCUCAAGUGAUUCAUCGAAGCUACAAGACCUUGAAAGCUGCUUUUUUAAGUGUUAGUAGUAGAACAUUCUGUCAAUCAGAGAAGGUUUUCGGUGAUAUCAAAAGUGAGAAUGCUAAC
rnacentral:ncRNA from 1 species